GACCUGAUGGUGGAGUUGGUACCACACCUGCUUUAAAUAAACUAAGCACAAGACUCUCUCAGCAGGAGGCCCCCGUUCGAUCCGGGGUCAGGUCA